rnacentral:misc_RNA from 1 species
GAGCAGCGACACCAUUGAUAACGUCAAGGCAAAAAUUCAGGACAAGGAGGGAAUCCCACCAGACCAGCAGAGGCUGAUCUUCGCUGGUAAGCAGCUAGAGGAUGGCCGCACCCUUGCCGACUACAAUAUUCAGAAGGAGUCCACUCUCCAUUUGGUGCUUCGCCUUCGUGGUGGCAUGCAGAUAUUCGUGAAGACCCUUACAGGUAAGACAAUCACCUUGGAGGUUGAAAGUUCUGAUACUAUUGACAACGUGAAGGCCAAGAUCCAGGACAAGGAGGGCAUCCCGCCAGACCAGCAGAGGUUGAUUUUUGCUGGAAAGCAGCUUGAGGAUGGGAGGACCCUUGCUGAUUACAAUAUCCAGAAGGAGUCUACUUUGCACCUUGUCCUUCGCCUUCGUGGUGGUUUCUGAGUUGCAUGGUUGUGUCUACUUUGUUAUUAAUAUCUACUAGUUAUGCCUUAAUGGCUUUAAAUAAGUUUUAAACCCUCCGAAACUUGUUAUUUUGGAAUGGUUGUAAGUACUUUACUAAAGCUGUUCUAAGUGGCCGCUAUAAGGUCAUUGGUACUUUAUUUUAGAGGCAAUAAAGCUGGCUUGACUGGCCUAUGUAAUAUUCUGGAUUUCUGAUUCAUGCUUUAUGUUCUUUGGGAUGUAGCAGAAUUCUGUUCUGUUUAUUUCUUACGGUGGCUUCUAUAGGAGUUGGUAACGUGGUUGUAUCUUACAAAAGGCAACUUUGUGGUUCACUGCGACUUUUAGGACCUCAGUGUGUUUGAAAAUGGUACAUUUCUAAGAGAGGUUCUUUGUUUCACUUUUGAAAUAGGUAGAAAUGCCAUAGCCAAACAAUUAGCCACUGCCUGUGGUUGAUAUGGGACCUGGCCCCAAUUUUCAACAUGCUC